rnacentral:lncRNA from 1 species
UGGGUCUCUAUGGGGCACUUAUGGGGCACAGAGGUGGCUAUGGGGCAGUUAUGGGUCUCUGUGGGUCUCUAUGGGGCACUUAUGGGGCACAGAGGUGGCUAUGGGGCACUUAUGGGUCUCUAUGGGGCACUUAUGGGGCACAGAGGUGGCUAUGGGGCAGGUAUGGGUCUCCAUUGCAUUCUAUGGGGCAGUUAUGGGUCUCAGUGGGUUUCUAUGGGGCACUUAUGGGGCACAGAGGUGGUUAUGGGGCACUUAUGGGUCUCUGUGGGUCUCUAUGGGGCACUUAUGGGUCUCUAUGGGGCGGCUAUGGGUCUCUAUGGGGCAGCUAUGGGGCUCUAUGGGGAUCCCUUUAGCCCCUCCCCCUCCCCUUUAGCCCCGCCCCCAUUUCCCUCUAGCCCCGCCCCUUUCCCCUUUAGCCCCGCCCCCCUCCCUAGCCCCGCCCCUCACCCCCCAACAUGACCUCUAGUGACCCCAGCCACACCGUAACCUUAGCCCCGCCCCGUUUCGCCUUAAGCCCCGCCCCUCCCCAUUCAAGCCGCCGUGGGGGGGCGUGGCCUGCGAGCCAAGGGGCGUGACCUGCGGGCCCGGGGGGCGUGGCCUCCCAUCUCCCCCCUCCCCACGGAGCGCCGCGGCCCCAUCACGUGGCCACUCCCCCUUCCCAGGUGAAGGCGCAGCGCUGU